AGCAGCCGCGGUAAUUCCAGCUCCAAUAGCGUAUAUUAAAGUUGUUGCAGUUAAAAAGCUCGUAGUUGAAUUUCGGGGUCAAUAGGUUGGUCGUGCCAAUGGUAUGUACUGGCUUUAUUGAUUCCUACCUCUUGACGAACUGUGAUGCCAUUAAUUUGGUGUUGCAGGAAAUCAGGACUGUUACCUUGAAAAAAUUAGAGUGUUUAAAGCAGGCUUACGCUUGAAUACAUUAGCAUGGAAUAAUGAAAUAGGACGUUUGAACCUAUUUUGUUGGUUUCUAGGAUCGACGUAAUGAUUAAUAGGGAUAGUUGGGGGCAUUAGUAUUCAAUUGUCAGAGGUGAAAUUCUUGGAUUUAUUGAAGACUAACUACUGCGAAAGCAUUUGCCAAGGAUGUUUUCAUUAAUCAAGAACGAAAGUUAGGGGAUCGAAGACGAUCAGAUACCGUCGUAG
rnacentral:rRNA from 1 species